rnacentral:lncRNA from 1 species
AAAAUAUUGUCAUUGGAUUUGGAUUAAUUAUGAUCUACUAGAAUAGCAUAGAAAAGAAUUGAAGUAGUGAGUGCCAACAGAGGAGAUAGCUGCAUAAACUGACAUAGUGUAAGCAUUUGGAGUUGGAGACCAAAGGUUUUAACUUUAUUCUUUUUAGGUAAAGAUUACAUGAGAGGGAAAUGAAGUAUAUAAGUUUAUGGUGGGAGACAGUGGGUUGGUUUUCAGAGGAUUAAGAAAAUAAAAUUAGGGUGGGUUUAAAGCAUACUUCUAUAUGUUAACCUGUACCUUGCAGAACAGAUGCCAAUGUGUCCAAAAAUGUAUAAUGUUAACCCACAAGAGAGGUGGCCAGACAACAUGAUGUGUGGUUAAUUGAAAAUGGAAUCUAACGGUACUGCCUUCAUGAAGUCAUAGGACUUUAGUCAGAGCAUUUACUUGUUAUAAAGACAACUCUGUAUAUGUUGCACACCCUCUGCAAAUAUUCUGACUCCUCACAAUGCAGAAGCUGGUUCCUAAAAUACCAUGUUGCAUAGUUGUGCCCUCCCUAAUU